AUAGCUUCUCGGCCUUUUGGCUAAGAUUAAGUGUAGUAUCCAUUGUUAGCAGUUUAAUAUCUUAUAUGUCCUUUAUCCAAGGACAUAAUAUAUAUUAAGUGGAUUUCUGGAAUUGGGAGACGGACUAGGCGCUUGCUCUGUCCACUCCACGCAUCGGCCUGGUAUUGCAGAACAUCCCCUUUGGGGAAGAAAGA